ACUUGGUCAAUGUUGAAGAUGCCUACACAGAGAAAGAUAUAGAAACUUUCCAAAAUGUGGCUAUUUCCCUAAAAUUUAUCUAGAAGUACUUAUCUAGGACCCUAAUUUUUAUCCUUGUUUUUCCUCCUGGUUAUAUGUUCUCCUUCUGUUAGUUCAUGUUAUAAAUGGCGCAACCAGGGAUGUCAUGCAAACAUGAGUAAAUUGGAUAUAGGCCUGCCUGGAAAUUUAUUAAAUGAAUAAACCAAAUACUCUUUUGCUGAUAUGACAGGUUUACUGUUGGCCUGGUUAUGCUUCUUCGGGGAGUUGAUGCAAAUAAACAUUGCUCUUGGUGUCAUUAUUUGUCAUGUGUCCCUACUUCAAGAUGGAGUUGCAAGACAGAGCCUGCAUACUGCACGUCAAGCCAGACGGGCAAUCAGCUCUUUUUAACAUGCUCAAGCAAUGGUAAGAACGGCACGUAUACAUUUGCAAAUGCAAGCAGUUCUCAGAUCCAGGGGCUGUGUUCUCAGCUUUGCAGUUGAUUUUUGCGGUAGAGAUGAGGGGGCUUAAGGCGGCACGAGCUGCUCGUAUGUAUAAAGAUACUAUUUACGGAUUUGUUUUGCUGUGAUACCCUUGUUAUACAUUUAUUCAUUUCAUUCUGUAAUCUUUGAUUCUUGAUCUUUACCAUGAAUAUUCGAUUGAUUGCUCUGUUUUUCUUUACAA